GGGCAGGUCGGCUCUCUAGGUUCUGCUCGCUUCCAUUCCUCCAACCACCUCUUCAUUGCUUGCUCUCCACCCCAGGAUUACAAACCAUGACUCCCUGAUGACUGACAGAGGUCAUUCUGGGACAGAAGAGACCAACCAGUGGAAACUCUGAACUGCACAAUGUGGACCGUGAAUGCACUUGCAGAAUUAGAGGCUUGGCAGGUUGUGUAUUUCUUCCUCCAUUCACCCGUUGGGCUGAGAGGUCAGGGAAGGUUGGUGGGAACUUUCACACGGAAGAGGUGACGACUGGAGAGGGUCGAGCGCAGCGAGGAGGUGCUUCCCCGCAGAGGAAGGUCCCGCAGGCAGAUGGGACCCCGUGACCAAGGUUCGGGACGUGAAACAGCGAGACAAAGCCCAGGAGACACACAGCCGCAGACAGCUCGUGCCUCAGGAAGACAUAAAGGGAACAGGACAAAAAAACUUACGUAAGAAUGGGAAAACUGAUUAGAACUGGAUCUUAGAAAGUGAAAUUUAAAAUUAUAACAAUAAUCUAUAUUGAUACAUAUUUUAAACAAAAGUUGGGUGGUAAUUUUCAGUCUGUCCUAACUUUAGAAUGAAAAAUAAAGUGCUGA